AGUGAACGCUGGCGGUAGGCCUAACACAUGCAAGUCGAACGGCAGCACAGUAAGAGCUUGCUCUUACGGGUGGCGAGUGGCGGACGGGUGAGGAAUACAUCGGAAUCUACUUUUUCGUGGGGGAUAACGUAGGGAAACUUACGCUAAUACCGCAUACGACCUACGGGUGAAAGCAGGGGAUCUUCGGACCUUGCGCGAUUGAAUGAGUCGAUGUCGGAUUAGCUAGUUGGCGGGGUAAAGGCCCACCAAGGCGACGAUCCGUAGCUGGUCUGAGAGGAUGAUCAGCCACACUGGAACUGAGACACGGUCCAGACUCCUACGGGAGGCAGCAGUGGGGAAUAUUGGACAAUGGGCGGAAGCCUGAUACAGCCAUACCGCGUGGGUGAAGAAGGCCUUCGGGUUGUAAAGCCCUUUUGUUGGGAAAGAACAGCAGCAGGUUAAUACCCCGCUGUUCUGACGGUACCCAAAGAAUAAGCACCGGCUAACUUCGUG
rnacentral:rRNA from 1 species